AUAAUCUAGUUACGCUGCUUAUUUAGUUUUUAGAUGAGGUUUAUAGAAUGAGAUAUCACAAAACAAAAAAAAACGAAACAUGAAGUGAAGGAAAUGAUGUAGCAAGAAGUUCAGAUAGUAGAUAGUUCAGUUGAAAAAAUCACAAUGGUAAUGAAGUAGCAAAUUUGAUUAUAAAGUGUUUUGAAAGAGAUCGAUCAAGAAAGAUCGUGUGUAUCCCAUUUUUCACGAUUAAUAAUUAAUUUUUUAUUUGCAUCAGUCCGCAAAGCUGUCCAAUGAUUUCUGUAUCUAAUAUAAUCAAAAUAGUCCCGAAUGAUAUGAAAUAAUUUGAUGCCAUCUGCAUAUGCUGUGACCGGUAGGGAAGAGUUGGACAAAACCAGGUAGGUUGAUAAAACUGGGUACCCCUUAAUUCUUCUAACUGUCUGCUGCUAUCUAUUAGACAAUGUUCAAAUUAGUGUCCCUUUACCACCAACAGUCGUGUGUAUUCAUUUCUACCUCAUUUGAGUAAUCUGUGCCGGAGCAGUAAGACCUCACCUGUUUUUUGAUGCAGGAAACUCGAUUUUUAAGUUAACUACAACAUGUGGCUUCUUCUGUUGAAGAAGCUAGUAAGAACGCUAGUAGGAAAAAUAAAAAAAAAAUCUCCAGUCGUAAAAAAAUUAAAACUAAAUGAACUGGACAAAAAAAAGAAAAAACGUGGUAAAAAGGACUGCACCAAAAACAACAUUUUGGAGAGUUUGGAGGAAGAAGAUAAUAAUGUUGAUGUGUGUCUAUAUUACAAUUAACUAUUUUCAAAUUAUAAUGCGAAGGAAGGCUGGAUAAAAUGUGUGUCUUGCACCAAAUGGGCUUAUGACCCCUGUAGUGCCUAUGAUGAUGUAGAUGAAGUUUUUAUUUGUGACUUCUGUUCAUAGAUUUUCGAUUUUUGUUCACAUACUUUUAAUAAAUAUUUUAUUUUCUGCC